CGUAACAAGGUCUCCGUAGGUGAACCUGCGGNGGGNUCAUUACACAAAUAUGAAGGCGGGCUGGAACCUCUCGGGGUUACAGCCUUGCUGAAUUAUUCACCCUUGUCUUUUGCGUACUUCUUGUUUCCUUGGUGGGUUCGCCCACCACUAGGACAAACAUAAACCUUUUGUAAUUGCAAUCAGCGUCAGUAACAAAUUAAUAAUUACAACUUUCAACAACGGAUCUCUUGGUUCUGGCAUCGAUGAAGAACGCAGCGAAAUGCGAUAAGUAGUGUGAAUUGCAGAAUUCAGUGAAUCAUCGAAUCUUUGAACGCACAUUGCGCCCUUUGGUAUUCCAAAGGGCAUGCCUGUUCGAGCGUCAUUUGUACCCUCAAGCUUUGCUUGGUGUUUGGCGUCUUGUCUCUAGCUUUGCUGGAGACUCGCCUUAAAGUAAUUGGCAGCCGGCCUACUGGUUUCGGAGCGCAGCACAAGUCGCACUCUCUAUCAGCAAAGGUCUAGCAUCCAUUAAGCCUUUUUUUCAACUUUUGACCUCGGAUCAGGUAGGGAUACCCGCUGAACUUAAGCAUAUCA
rnacentral:rRNA from 1 species